rnacentral:misc_RNA from 1 species
GAUGAAGAACGUAGCGAAAUGCGAUACGUAAUGUGAAUUGCAGAAUUUAGUGAAUCAUCGAAUCUUUGAACGCACAUUGCGCCCCUGGGUACUCCUAGGGGCAUGCCUGUUCGAGCGUCAUAACAACCCCCUCGAGCCGACUAGGCUUGGUCUUGGGGCCCGCCCGCGUUGGCGCGGCGGCCCUUAAACCCAGUGGCGGUGCCGGUGGUGCUUUCCGCGUAGUCACGUUUCUCGCGCGAGGGCACGAUCUGGACCCAGCCAGCAACCAAGUCCGCGGCGCUGUGCGCUGCGACUUCUCUCUGGUUGACCUCGAAUCAGGUAGGGAUACCCGCUGAACUUAAGCAUAUCAAUAAGCGGAGGA